UCUUCCUUGAUCUUCCAUUAUGCUUACCAACGGUACACGAAUCUGUGUCAAAACGUCGCACUCACGAAAUAAAGAAGUUUCUAUCCAUAAAGUUUGUU